CGGCUCACUGCAAGCUCCGCCUCCUGGGUUCACGCCAUUCUCCUGCCUCAGCCUCCCACGCCCAGCUAAUUUUUUGUAUUUUUAGUAGAGAUGGGGUUUCACCGUGUUAGCCAGGAUGGUCUGGAUCUCGUGAUCUGGUGAUCCGCCCGCCUCAGCCUCCAAAGUGCUGUACAGGCGUGAGCCACCACGCCGGGCCCAAAAAGCUUUUAAAAAGAAAAACACUCAGCUGAUGAAAGAAACCACCGCUCUAACCAUGACAAUGCUUGGUUGACCUUUUCCUUCCUUUCUAGCAGUUGAGAACAACAAGCAAUAACAACCAUACGAAGAAUCUAGCAAACUCAGACUUUACUUCUCCUUUUCGUGGUCCUGGAAACAGCUCAGAAUAAAGUGGAUCUGGACCUCUACAGAAGAGAGGGAGCUCCAGAUUCCAGGCCUCAGCAGUUGAGCUGGUUCACCUUGGAAUCUGACUCUGACAAGCAAAAGGAAGCAGAGUCUGAUCAUCUUUCCAGAUAGGAUUUCACUGUGUUGUCCAAGCUGGAGUGCAGUGGCUCAAUCACAGGUCAUGGCAGCCUCGACCUCCUGGGGUUCAGGUGAUCCUCCCAUCUCAGCCUC
rnacentral:lncRNA from 10 species